AGAGUUUGAUCAUGGCUCAGGAUGAACGCUAGCUACAGGCUUAACACAUGCAAGUCGAGGGGAAACGACAUCGAAAGCUUGCUUUUGAUGGGCGUCGACCGGCGCACGGGUGAGUAACGCGUAUCCAACCUGCCCAUCACUUGGGGAUAACCUUGCGAAAGUAAGACUAAUACCCAAUGACGUCUCUAGAAGACAUCUGAAAGAGAUUAAAGAUUUAUCGGUGAUGGAUGGGGAUGCGUCUGAUUAGCUUGUUGGCGGGGUAACGCCACAAGGCGACGAUCAGUAGGGUUCUGAGGGGAAGGUCCCCCANAUUGGAACUGAGACACGGUCCAAACUCCUACGGGAGGCA
rnacentral:rRNA from 1 species